GCUCCUCACACAGGCAGCCAGUGGUGGCAGCUGGUAGCACCUGAGGCUACUCCUAAGCUUUAAUGAUCACUGGCCUUUGGCAUGACCCAAGCACUGUUCACUGCCCGCUUGCCAAAAAUGUCAAGGAUCUAAACUGUGUUCGCUUUAUGGCCAACGACAGUCCGGGGGUUUUCCUGAUUGACAAAGCCCCGGAGGAGACACUUCGCGGGGCGUAGUGCUGAUCGCUUAUUCGCCCUCUGGGAACCUGGAGAAGCAGCUCCGCCCUGUGGACAUAAAUCAUUAUGACAGGAGUUUGUGGUUGUUGUGGGGCACUCAGGCCCAGAUACAAACGACUCGUUGACAACAUUUUCCCAGAAGACCCAGAAGACGGGUUAGUCAAAGCCAACAUGGAGAAGCUGACAUUCUACGCCCUGUCAGCUCCGGAGAAACUGGACCGUAUCGGGGCGUACCUGUCCGAGAGACUGUCCAGGGACGUGGCCCGGCACAGAUAUGGAUAUGUGUGCAUAGCCAUGGAGGCUCUGGACCAGCUGCUAAUGGCCUGUCACUGCCAGAGCAUCAACUUGUUUGUGGAAAGUUUCCUCAAAAUGGUUCGAAAGCUUUUAGAGUCAGACAAACCCAAUCUGCAAAUCCUGGGAACCAAUUCAUUUGUGAAGUUUGCCAACAUAGAAGAGGACACACCUUCGUACCACCGCAGUUAUGAUUUCUUUGUGUCACGCUUCAGUGAAAUGUGUCACUCCAGCUAUGAGGACCCUGAUAUCCGCACAAACAUUCGAAUGGCGGGUAUCAGAGGUCUACAAGGCGUAGUGAGGAAGACGGUGAAUGAUGAACUUCAGGCUAAUAUCUGGGACCCACAGCACAUGGACAAAAUAGUGCCAUCUCUUCUUUUCAACCUGCAGAGUGGAGAGCGCACAGAGAGCCGCUCCCCCUCUCCACUGCAGGCGUCCGAGAAGGAGAAGGAAAGCCCGGUGGAGCUUACAGAACGUUGCUUCAGAGAGUUACUGGGACGGGCUGCGUAUGGCAACAUCAAGAACGCUGUCAACCCUGUGCUCACGCACUUGGAUAAUCACUGUCUAUGGGAGGGGAAGACAUUUGCAGUGCGCUGCUUUAAAAUAAUCAUGUACUCUAUCCAGUCACAGCAUUCACACUUGGUCAUUCAGCAGCUCCUGGGUCACCUGGACGCCAACAGUAAGAACUCUGCGACGGUGCGGGCUGGGAUCGUGGAGGUUCUACUGGAGGCCGCUGCCAUCGCUGCUAGUGGCUCUGUGGGGCCCACCGUGCUGGAAGUCUUUAACACCCUUCUGAGGCAGCUGCGUCUCAGUGUGGAUUAUGAACUGACCGGGACAUAUGACGGCAGCACCAACAUCGGCACCAAGAUCAUCAAAGCUCACGAGGAGAGGCAGCUCCAGGAGGCAGUCAUUCGGACCAUUGGUUCUUUUGCCAAUACAUUACCAACUUACCAGAGGUCAGAGGUUAUGCUCUUCAUUUUGGGAAAGAUUCCUGGACUUCACCCUACACUGCCCCCUUCUGGCUCUGGACCCGAUGGCACUAGAAUGAUUCAGGUUAUGUUGCUCAAGUCUUUAGUGCAGGUAACAGCAGGUUAUGAGACCACCAACAUGCUAACCGCUAUGCCCAGCUCGUUCCUGGAGCCACUGCUGUCCCUAUCUCUCACUGAGGACCCUGAGGUACGUCUGUUGGUGCUGCAAAUUCUGCUUAGCCUCAUCGACAGGCACGAUAACAGGCCCAAGUUCUCCAAUGUCAGUAUCAUCUCUGACAUCUCGGUGCUCAAACUCAAAGUGGACAAGUGUUCCCGACAGGACAACUUGUUCAUGAAAAAGCAUGGGCAGCAGCUUUACCGACACAUCUACUUGGGCUGUAAAGAGCAGAGCAGCGGACGGGAGCAUUACCAGACCCUCUUCACUCUGCUGGCUCUGCUUAGUGUGGAGCUGGCCAACGAGGAGGUCGUAGUGGACCUUAUUCGCCUCUCACUCGCCUUACAGGACCUAGCUCUGUCCAAUGACGAGGGGCUGCCUGUUUAUAACCGCUGUGCUGUUCAUGCCCUUGUGGCCGCCUACCUCAACCUCAUCUGUCAGCUCACCACUGUUCCCACUUUCUGCCAACACAUACAUGAGGUGAUUGAGGUGAGGCAAAAGGAAAGCUCCCAUCUCUUACCAGAGGACGUAUUCAUCGACAAGCCAAAACUGCCCUCUUCACUGGAGAAAGUGGAAGGCGAUGUUUUGUUCCUUCAAUCCAAAAUCACUGAGGUCCUCGGAGGCAGUGGCUACAACACAGAGCGGCUGGGUACUCCUUAUGUGCCGCAGUACACAGAUGAGGACCGUCUGUCAAAGAGGAAGAGUAUUGGGGAAACCAUCUCACUGCAGGUUGAAGUGGAGUCUCGAAAUAGUCCAGAGAAAGAAGAGAGAACACCAGCAGAAGAAAUCACAUUUGAAACACUCAAGAAUGCUAUUGUGGACAGUGUUGGGAUGGAAGAGCAGGAAAGGGAGCGCCGGAGGCAAGUUGUGGAGAAGUUUCAGAAAGCUCCUUUUGAAGAGAUAGCGGCUCACUGCGGUGCCAGGGCCAUGAUGCUGCAAAGCAAACUUAACCAGAUCUUUGAGAUUACAAUCAGACCACCUCCAAGUCCAUCUGGAACCAUUUCAUCGGGUUAUGGCCAAACACAGAGUCGUUCCAUUCCCAUAUAUGAAAUGAAGUUCCCUGACCUUUGUGUGUACUAGACGAAAAAACAUCCAAAGUAUUUGAUCUCCACGGCAAAGAGAUAAGCCCAGGAAAACAAUAGUGUCACCGAGACAGGGCAGUGGUUGUUACAACUGUAUUUUGUUAAUAAUUUACUUAAUCUAAUUUUCUUAAAUUCAGUUUUGUAAUUGGUACACUGUGUAAAAUAUGUGAAGCAUUUAUUUAUUUUAACUGCUAUACGAUUCGACUUGCUUUUAAAAAAUAUAUAUAUAUAUAUAUCUUAAAUUUCAAAUGUUAUCAUCAAUUUAACUCAUUCUAAUUUAAAUAAAUACAUGCUUGAAAUAUUUUACCCUAAUUAUUAAAUAAGUAUUUUUAAUAGUUUACCCUAAUUAUAAGUAUUUUUAAUAGUUUACCCUAAUUAUAAGUAUUUUUAAUAGUUUACCCUAAUUAUUAAAUAACUUUUUUUUUACUACAACCAUAUUUUUUACAAAGUAAAUUUUACUUUUAGCUUUUACUAUGGAUCGGACCUGGACGACUGAGGGUUUACACAUACGACAUAAACAACAAACCCUUUUAAUACCUGAACAUUUUAGGAUUUACUUUUUUCAUUUAAUUUCUCUUUAUCUUUUACCAUUUUUAAUUGACUGAAGACAGCAUGCCCUGUAGACAGAAAGUAUUGUAAGCACUGAUCGUGUUUUUCUAGUAUCUGAAAAGACGCCAUACUAUGUCUCAAAUACCUUUUUAUGUCGCAGUGUUUGUACUUUUUUACGUUUUUAUAUGUUUUGAUGUGUUCAUGUAUUUCUCUGCACUGUGCAUUAAUUUCAAGCUCGGGCACCUGUUUUUAAGUCUUAACUUUAUUAUUUGCCUUUUAGACUCAUUCAGAAGUGCUUUCAUUAAUAUGUUUUUCUUUGCCUUCAUAGUUACUACAAGUUACAGUUGAAAGUUACUUAUUUUCCCAUUUCCAUAUAAAUGUGUAUAUACAAAGAAAUAUAUGAAUUUUAGAGCUGAUGUACAGAGAUGUUUUGCGUGUAUAUGCGUAUUGUAUAUCAACUAUAAUUUUAGACUGCCACUGCAUUAAGUUUUUUUAAAUUUAAAUUUAUUGAAAUCAAACCAGCAACCAAUGACAUGAUCAAAUUUAGACAAAGAUAAGAUUAGUUGUUUGAAAAGCACAGAUCGACACGUCAUCUCCUGCUUAAAUGCUUGUUUUCUAUAAAAGGCUAUCUCCGUAGUGUGAGUUCAGGUCUAUGCACUAUCAUUUUGACCUGUAGAGUUACGAUUAUUACACACUGGAUUAACUUUGCACUCUCUCCUUCUUAUGCCAAACUGCUGCUGCAGCUUCAGACAGUGCAUUGUUCUGCAGAUUCAGGCCUAAAGCCAUUUAUUUGUGUGUCUCAUUCCACACACACACUCACACAGGUAUGAAAUCUAAGUAUGAUGGCAAUAAUUUAGCCUGUCUUUUGUAUAGAAGUAGUGGACAUUGUCUAAAAUGUAUCUUUUUUGUAUGCUGGUCAUGAUCAAAGAUUCUUCUGUGAAAUACUGCUUUGGCUGUGACAUUUGAAGUAAGUUAAAUGAUCUGGUGUGUCCCUGAUAUCAUGUCCUUUAUAACACUUUUGUUUUGUUUUGUUUUUUACAUGUUUGUAUUUGUCAUGUGCGAUGUCCUCUGUCAGUGCAGGUGUGUGUCCGAUUGUGGAUGGUUUGUCCAAAUGUGUCAAAAUCCAACUACACUUUAAAAAUUGUUUUUCAUGUGACCCAGGACCAAGUGAACAAAGAGCAUUGUGCAACCUAACUUUGCAAUCACUUAUGUUUGCUCAAAAAUCUAACAACUUGUCAAUAAAUCUGUGUUUCUGCCUGUUGUCAUUGCAUAGUGUAAUGUAAUGGUGAGAGGUUAAUCCUUCCUUAUUUUGUCAUCACAAGUGCAAACUACAAACCAGUGUCUGUUAUGUGAUUUAGGUCAUACUUCUGUGAAAUUUGCACUUUAAAAGCUGGAUACACUUCUGACAAAGGCAGCUUUGAUGAGGAGAAAAUGCCUUAUGAGUGUCAUACUUGACUGUGCAUGCUCUGUUGCCCUGUUGAACAAUAAAUGGAUAAGAUUGA